AUGGCGCCGCAGCCAACCUCCAAUCCAGCACCACCGCUGGAGCCGCCGUUCUUUCCAACCCAAGACGGGCUCAUGGAGGAAAUCUUUGUCCCGGCUAACAUGAUGCCACCGCUGCCGGCUCCAAGUUCCCACCAAACCCCACUGCCGGUGCUGUCCAUCGCAAAUAUCCUAGAUGUGCUACUCGAGGAAACCUUCCUCCGCAUCCCCACCGCGGCCGACCUCGCCUGCGCCUCCACCGCUCGCGCUUCCUUCCAUGGCGUCAUCUCCGACCACUCCUUCCUGCGCCGAUACCCCGUGCACCGCCCCAACGAGUUGCUUGUGCUUGAAGUGUGCACAAUGGAGUUCUCUGCUGUCGACCUGCCACCUGAACAACUAGGGAAUAGCAGUUUUGUCAUUGUGGAGACGACGGGCUGA
rnacentral:rRNA from 1 species